UCAUGGCUCAGAUUGAACGCGGGCGGCAUGCCUUACACAUGCAAGUCGAACGGCAGCACGGGAGCAAUCCUGGUGGCGAGUGGCGAACGGGUGAGUAAUACAUCGGAACGUGCCCAAUCGUGGGGGAUAACGCAGCGAAAGCUGUGCUAAUACCGCAUAAGAUCUACGGAUGAAAGCAGGGGACCCGCAAGGGCCUUGCGCGAAUGGAGCGGCUGAUGGCAGAUUAGGUAGUUGGUGAGGUAAAGGCUCACCAAGCCUUCGAUCUGUAGCUGGUCUGAGAGGACGACCAGCCACACUGGGACUGAGACACGGCCCAGACUCCUACGGGAGGCAGCAGUGGGGAAUUUUGGACAAUGGGCGCAAGCCUGAUCCAGCCAUGCCGCGUGCAGGAUGAAGGCCUUCGGGUUGUAAACUGCUUUUGUACGGAACGAAAAGGUUCUCUCUAAUAAAGGGGGCUCAUGACGGUACCGUAAGAAUAAGCACCGGCUAACUACGUGCCAGCAGCCGCGGUAAUACGUAGGGUGCAAGCGUUAAUCGGAAUUACUGGGCGUAAAGCGUGCGCAGGCGGUGAUGUAAGACAGUUGUGAAAUCCCCGGGCUCAACCUGGGAACUGCAUCUGUGACUGCAUCGCUGGAGUGCGGCAGAGGGGGAUGGAAUUCCGCGUGUAGCAGUGAAAUGCGUAGAUAUGCGGAGGAACACCGAUGGCGAAGGCAAUCCCCUGGGCCUGCACUGACGCUCAUGCACGAAAGCGUGGGGAGCAAACAGGAUUAGAUACCCUGGUAGUCCACGCCCUAAACGAUGUCAACUGGUUGUUGGGUCUUCACUGACUCAGUAACGAAGCUAACGCGUGAAGUUGACC
rnacentral:rRNA from 1 species